GGGGGGGGGGGGCUCGUGCCGGCGCAGGACUGUCCCCGCCGGCCAGCAAUGGCGAGACCCCUCCCAGCAGCUAGCACGUGGCGGGGGCCAACACCGGCGAGCAGCGGCGGCGCGGCUGGCGAGUGAUAGGGCCAACGCCGAUGAGCAGUGGUGGCGCGGCCAGAGGCCAGCACCCUUUUUGCUUUUUUUACUUUUUAUUUGAUCUGCAGGGUGCCAUUUUUAGCUGCGAAAAGUAGGGGCGGGCAUCGGACCUGACCCUGCAAAUAAUAUUUCAACCAUCCCUAGAAAUGUUUUAUGUAGUAGUAGAAUUCACUAAAGCAUGAUCUCAUGCUUCCCUACUCUUUAGGUGCAUGAAUGAUGUUUCUUUACUCUUUAGGUAUUCAUGAUUGCCUAGAUCUGAUUAUUUGGUUGCUUGUAAUUGUUGGGAUUAGAGAUCCCGAAUAUGUGAUAUACGAGAGAGUGAGAAAGUUUAAGAGAGAAAGCAAAUGCGUAAAUGGC
rnacentral:lncRNA from 1 species